UGGGCAGUUAUCCUAGUUGGUUAAGGAGAUUUACUGUAAAUAAAUUGGCUAUGGCCACCGUGUGUUCGAGUCACACCUGCCCAA